ACACACACACACAUAUAUAUAUAUAUACACACACAUACAGUGGAUGAUGUAUAUCAAUAUAGAUUUCUUGAGAUUUUUUGGAAUCUCAAGAAAGAGUGAUGUAUUGACCUGGCCAAAAUCAAUGAAUGCCUGUAUUAAUCUGUUUUCACACUGCUAUAAAGAAUACUACCUGAGACUGGGUAAUUAUGAACAACAAGGGUUUAAUUGACUCAUAGGUCUGCAUGGCUGGGGAAGCCUUAGGAAACUUGCAGUCAUGGCAAAAAAUGAAGGGGAAGCAAGCAAGUCUUUCAUGGCAGCAGGUGAGAGCGACAACCCAGGGAAAAUUGCCAUUUAUAAAACCAUCAGAUCCUAUGAGAAUUCACUCACUAUCACAAGAACAGCAUGGGGAACGCCACCCCCAUGAUCCAGUCACCUCCCAGUAGUUCCCUCCAUAGACACGUGGAAAUUACAAUUCAACAUGAGAUUUGGAUGGGGACACAAAGCCAAACCAUAUCAGUGUCCAACCAUAGAUACACUGAGGCAGGAAGAAAGAGGACAUGGCCUCUUCAAAAUUCACAGUGGGAUGCACCACUAGCACCUGCCAAAAACAAAUGUGAUGAGAAAUGCCCCAAACUGGAAGCCAAGAAGGAGGGCAUUUGUUUUUGUUUGUAUGUUUAACUGAUUUUGAGAAAGAGAAUACUCUAUCUCCCAGGCUAGAGUCCAGAGCCAUAGUCAUAGUUCCUGUCCUCCAGGAUCCUCUGGCUUCAGCCUCCCAAGAAACUGGGACUACAUUCACCACCAAGCUCAGCUAAAUUCUUUUUGGUAGAGAAAGGGUCUCACUGUAUUGCCCAGGCUGGUCUCAAACUCCUGGCCUUAUGUAAUCCUCCUCCUUCAGCCUCACACAGCUCUGGGAUGACAGGCAAGAGCCAUCACGCCCAGCUGCAACAAGGUAACUGGUAUUAGAAAGAUGAAAUCUACUGUAAGACAUAUUAUUAUUAAAAAGUUACCUUAAAAUUAUUCUAUAAAAUUUUUGUCCUUCACUUCAUUUGUCCAUUCAUUCUAGCUAUAUGCACUAUAAACUGAAUUACCGGUGGCACAAUGCUGGAAAUAUCAUUAUAAACUUUCUACCAAAUUUUUGAUCCUUAAAAAAAAAAUUCAUGAUUUUGGUGGAUUAUGGAAUGUUCUUAAUUCAAUAGCUUCUGGCUAACAUCAUGAUCUCCAGGGACCUUGCUACCAUAGUGGAAAGAACAUGAUUUUGAAGUCUGACAAAUUUGGAUUUAACCCAUGUAAUGCAGAGUCGCCAAAUAAGUCUGCCUCUUUGAGUUUUGUUUUCUCAUCUUUCCAGUGCACAUAAUAACCUUACCAUAGAGAGUCAUUUUAAAAGCUAAAUUAGAACAUGAAUAAAAACCGCUUCGCAUGUGGUAGGGAUUUGUGAUUAUCAGGGUCCCCCAGCUAUGCUUCAUUUAGUUGACAAGAAAAUAUGAUGGCUGCUUCAGGGAUACAACAUACAUUCCAGUUAAAAAGUGUUGUUUCUGGCCAAAAAACAUAUGGCCAAUACACAUGAAUAACUUGAAUUGCAUAGGCAGUUUUUCUAAUGAGGAAUUCAUCCUCACCCAAAUUAUGAUUUAAGCAUGUCUGGAAUUGUAAACAGUUAAUAGUGUGAGAUCUGAUGGAUCUACAGAAGUGGGUCAGCAAAUUUGCAAAAAUGAUCUCACCAAUUUGUAUCCUAGUAUAACUUUCAAAAAUAUAAAAGCAUGAUUCAUACAAUCAUAAAAUAACUACCUAAUGAUUAAUCCAGAUCAUUAAUUGAAGACGGAACCAGUUAGAUAAUGAAAGUAGUUUAAAGAAUUUUAGGAACGAUAAUGUAGAUAGUCAACAGCAUACUAAAUUAAUUUAGAUAUAAAAUGGAGUAAUGCCCCAUAGAGCAGUGAAACUAUAACCUUAAUAUUAUCUCUCUUUCUGGAGAAGCAGCUACAGGUUAGUAUGUGACAUUUUAGUUAGUAUCUGUGCUCUAAACAAACAGUAAACUGCAAGUUCAAAGAAAUGUCCAUUCUCCAAGAUAAUUAAACCUGUGUGGCGCCUCUCUUAGUCCAUUUGUGUUGCUAGAAAUCAAUACUGGAGGCUGGAUAAUAUACAAAGAAAAGAGGUUUAUUCGGCUCAUGGUUCUGCAGGUUCUACAGGAAGUAUGGUGCCAGUGGCUGCUUCUGGUGAUGGCUUUAGGAAGCUUUUACUCAGGGUGGAAGGGGAAGAAGAGUCAGAGUGGGUAGAUCAUUUGGUGAGAGAGGAAGCAAGAGUGAGAGAAUAAGGUCCUAGGCUUUUUGCAACUGGAAAUCAAGGGUGAGAACUGACUCACUCCUUUGAGAAAGACACCAAGCCACUCAUGUGGGAUCUGUCUCUAGGAUCCAACCACUUUCCAUCAAGCUCUACCUCAAAGCUUGGGGAUAAAAUUUCAACCGGAGACUUGAGGAGCCAAAUAAACCAUACCUAAAUCACAGCAGAACCUGUAAAACGCCAUUCUGAUAUGACAUCGAAAGGACAUAAACUCACCCCUUCUGCUUUAUUUCCAAGGUUUUGAUACAUUUUUUUCUAACAAUAGUAAGCCCAGUGUUGUUUGACUACACCACCUAAAUACGGUUACUGAUUAGCAGCCUUAGUUGGGUUAUUAAAACAAAUUAACUUCAUACAUUGCUGUUUUCAACUUUGAGAUUAACAGAUGCAACAAUAGUCAAAAUAUCAGGUUUAUCAUUUAAAUUAUUUGUCUAAGGGGUGCAACAACUCCCUCUUUCUCUCACUUCCCUUUCUUGAGUAUAAUUUUACAUUCCAUUAAAAACAAAAUGACAUAAAUGCAACAAGUUUUUGAACAGCAAUAGAAAUUACUAAAUUUCCACAAAGUUAUUAGUAAUCAUUUAUCCUCAAACAUUUAUGUACAAGAAAACUCUCAUCUGUUCCAUCUGCCCAUAGAAACCUUUGCAACUGAAGAUAAGGAAGAUAAGAAUAUUUUAAGGUUCACAUCCUCUUAAGUAAACUAGAAAUUUAGGUUGUAGGUGACAAACUAUCUGGUAGCUCCAGGGCUGGCCUGAGGCAAAACUGUAAAAUCUGUGAAGUGUGAUUUCUGUGUUCUCAAGCCCUCUUCCUGGAUCCUCCACUUUCCUCAGCCCAUCUGUCAAUAUUCACUGAUCUUGGCUAUUCAAUCUACUCUCCAGUGAUACCCUGCUUUAGGCUGCUUUUUCUAGCAGAUGCCUGAGACAUGAGAACUUUCCCAUCUGAGGGAAAAAGAAAUUCCUAUGCCUGCAUAUAUCUAAUUCAUUGCACAUGCACAAAUCCUUCUGUAAAUAAUUUCUUCUAAAUAUAAAAAACUGGUUGGUGCUCAUAAGUCAGUUCUCUCCUCAUCUAAUGUAAUAGCCUGGGGAGUGGGGGAAAGAGUAUUGCAGUAUCGUGUGUGUGUGUGUGUGUGUGUACCCAUGACACACAGUUACCCUGUUGGUAAAGAGUAAUCAAUAAUGUGAAUUUUUGGAGAAAGUUUGCUUUAGGAUUUCUCUACAAUUAGCAGUCUUACUGGGGGGACCUUUGUUGACUUAGAUACUGCCUCUUGAUGUUCAGACUAACUCUGGCCUCCACCUUCAUUAAUGAAGCCUAUAUUAUGCCAUGAGUAUGAUAUCAGAUCAAAUAUCAUUUUUUUCUCUUUCAUCUUCUCAGACAUUGAAGAGUCCAUAUACAUGGAAAGGUCUUUUUACUAAGAGAAGUGACUUGAAAAGGAGUGCAAAGAUCUGCCAUUUUGGCCAUUUUGUUGAAUUCAAUCAUUAGAAAACCCAGACAUAUGUCUAAGGAUGUUUUUCAUGAUCUCGUCUAAGCCACUCCAAUGAGGAAAGAAAGAGAGAAUGCUGCUCCUUUUUCAUCCAGCAUGAGAAAUGUGAACUUGAAAAAGAAUAACGUGCCAAGGAUUCAAAUAAACACAUUUCCUUGUAUGUGCCCUACAAAUGCAAAGUUCUCUCCAGGCUUUGAACUGAAUCCAGCAGUAGGCAGGACCACCUACUGUUUUCUCUCUUUGUUGACCUAGGAGAGAUGAUUCAUGCAUUGAUCAAGAAGGAAACAACUAUCCAUCAAGGUAAGAGCCUUUGGCUGUACCAACCAUCAGCAAACCCAGCCAGCAUGCUCCCUACAUUAAAGUACUCUAGCACAUUAAUUUCAAACCUGCACCCUGUAGGUAUAUUCAGAGCAGUCCCCAGCUACUGUCCUACAGACAAAUAAAUCACAUUUAAUAGGUACUGUGCAGCAUCUAAUAUUAUCUACAUAUAUAUUCCAUAAAAAUUAUCAUCUUAUGGCAAACUUUUCAAAUACCCUAUACCUUAGAGAGAAAACACAUACACAUGCACACACAAUAGUAGUGCUAGUAGAAUGAAUAUUAAUUUGCAGUAGUAAUUAGUGCUAGUAGUAGUAUUAAUAUACAAUAUUAGGCUAGUAAUCGUAUUAAUAAAGUAAUUUAUACAGUUUGAAGCAUCACUCAUUUGUCAAGAAACAAAAUCAUAGGCAAUCAGAGUUGAAAAAGCUUGUUUCUUUGUUGCUUCCUACCCUCGAGAUCCCCCUUCUACAAUAUUAAAACUCAAAAGUCACUUGGUCUCUGGUUUUACUCUCAAGCAAUAGCAAUAAACCUGUGUUAUAAGGUCCAUUUCACUUCUGGAUAAGUCUAAGUGUCAGAAAUUUCUUCUAUAUAACCUCAAGCCUAUCUUUUAUGUCUUCCAACCAUUGAUCCUAAUUAACCCAUUAAGUUUAUAGAGAGAAACCAAAUCCCUCUGUCACAUGACAGCAUGUCAAAUGUGACCAUGAUUAUUACUUUGGCAAUUUCUCUGAGUAUUUUCAAGGUCUUCCUUAAGGUCACUAUUCCUAGCAAUUCCAAUGACUUUGCUCUUAAAUCUACCAUUUCUAAUAGACUUCCCAUUUCCCCCCAAAUGUAGCCUACUAUUUUUUGUAUAGUCACCAAGAGUAUGGAGGAUUAGACUUAGCUUUCUUGAGACACUCCUCAUUCAGGGUUGGAUGAAUUUUUUAAUUUAAUUUUAAUUUUUUAUUGAGAUGGAGUCUUGCUCUGUUACUCACGCUGGAGGACAGUGGUACAAUCUUGGCUCACUGCAACCUCUGACUCUAGUUCAAGCAAUUCUCCUGCCUCAGUCUCCUGACGAGCUGGGACUACAGACAUGCAUCACCAGGCCCAGCUAAUUUGUGUAUUUUUAAUAGAGGUGGGGUUUCAUCAUGUUGGCCAGUCUGGUCUUGAACUCUUGACCUCAAAUGAUCAGCCCAAAGUGCUGAGAUACCAGUAUGAGCCACUGUGCUCAGCCUGGAUAAAUUUAAAUAACUCUGGUAAGAAAAUUGUUUUUAAAUGAUUUAUUUUGGAAAACGUUCAGGCUUGCAAAACAGUCACAUGAGUAGUAUAAAGCAUUACCUUAUAUUUUUCCCCAGGUUUCCCCAAAUGUUAACAACAUAGAGUAUAAUUUUCAACAUCAGAAAAUUAAAAUUAAUUUAUAAUAUUCUUAAUAGACUUUUUAUUUCAAAUUCAUCUUUUGCCCUACCGUUUCUCAACUCAGAUCCAAUCUAGGAUCAUCUAGAAAAUGAGAAAACUCAAAGCUCACCAAAAGCCUACAGUGAGUGAGAGUAAUUUUGUGCAUUUUGCCCUAUAAUUCUACUCUUUACCCUACCCCAAAACAAAAAGAGUUAUUCAGAAAUUUUAUUUAAAUAAAACCUCACUCUGGUAAGAGGAAUGAGAAAUUAGUUCAGAGCAACUCAAAGCCAAGGUGGUAACCAUGAUAAGCAGCUUUUACAUAAGGCGAAGUCAAAGGCUAUUUCAUGUGAAUAAAGUAAAUGGCCUUCGAUUCUCCUGGAACCGAUUCACAGAGAGGCUGAGAUGUUAUCAUGACUGUGCAGAGGAGCAAGAGAAUCUCAAAGAAACCCAAGGCGUUAAUUAAAGCAAUUAAAACUUCUUUUACCAUAACUAAAGGGGAAAGAGCAACCUUCUCUCUUACUCUGUGCCCGUCCUUGAGACAUUCUUCCACCAAAACUGACAGAAGGAUCAGUACCUCCUCCCUGGAUAAGUCAGAUGUGCACAGGCAUCUAACUCAAUGCGUGCGCUUGAAAGUGAACUGUUGAAUGUCAGUCUUCACACAAUUUCCCACAAAUUAGUGUACUUAUACUCCUUCAGAAGCAUUUCUAGUUAAAAAAAUUAUAUACCCACGAAUAUACAUGAAUUCACAAACAUACACACGUAUAUAUCCUGAAGAGGCUACAUGUAUUUUGUGGGUUGACUUUACACAAAAAAGGAUGAACUGAAAGGGAUCAAUUAGGAUGAACUGAAAGCAGAAAAUGGUAAGCCAAUCAUUGAUUUCACUGGAGAAAUGAGAAACAGCUUCUCACUAGCUAGAGAAAAAUAUUAGAUUGAGAAUUCUAAUCUUAAUCUUGCAGAUGUCAGGUGCUAUAAGCCCAAGAUGCUGACAUUCUAAUGGCAGACACAGAUACACAAACAUAGUUGUAAGACUUUGUGCUAAAUGCAAAGAUAGAGGUGAGUCCUUGUUGAGAGAAAGCAGGACCUUGUAAAGGAAGAAGAAACUGUAGAUGAGAGUAGGUAUCAAGUAUUAUGUGGAAAGCAGUUUUGUGACAGCCCCAUUAGUUAAAGGGAAGUGUGACUGAGCCCUCAGUUGAUAAUGAACCCUGGUGACCAGUAUGUGACUCUCUCCUCCUAUCAAAAACCUAUCAAAGGCCAGUCUUCCUUUUGGGCACAGGCUCUGUCUUCUGUACUUACUCAGGAUCCUACUCCAGCAACUGCUCCUCUUUCCUAUGUCACAAGUCCCUACCUUAGCGGACUAUUUUCAUUAGCAUAUAUGCAAACCAUCAUUUUCCCAUCUAAAAAAUAAUAAUACGCUCCUAUAACUAAAGUUUCUUUAAUCUACUUCCCAAUUUAUUUUAUUCUUCUCUAAAAACCUCCCGAAAAGAAUUAUUUAUACUUGAUUUAUUCCAUUUUUCUACUCCUGUUUCCUCUUAAUCAGAUUCCAAUCAGGCUAUCAACUAUCAAGAUUACUAGUGGCCUUCACUUUAAAUAUAGUGGUCAAUUUAAGCUGUAACUCAGUAUUUAGAAGAAUACUCGACACAGAGCAGGUGCUCAAGAAUUAUUGGUUAAAUACCUGGAUACAUGAAUGGAGCUAACAUAUAGUCAAGAAGGCCUUUUGAAAUUAUACAACAUAGGGCUACAUAGGUAUACCCAGAGUAAAAAAGUAAGGAUAAUAUUUGCAAAACAUACUUUAAAAAAUGCUUAAUGAGGCUGGGUGCCGUGGUUCACGCCUGUAAUCCCAGCACUUUGGGAGGCUGAGCUGGGCAGAUCACCUGAGGUCAGGAGUUCGAGACCAACCUGGUCAACAUGGUGAAACCCUUUCUCUACUUAAAAAAUACAAAAAUUAGCCCGGUGUGCUGGCGAGCACCUGCAAUCCCAGCUACUCGGGAGACUGAGGCAGGAGAAUCACUUGAACCAGAGAGGCAGAGUUUGCAGUGAGCCAAGAUCAUACCACUGCACUGCAGCCUGGGCAACAGAGCAAGACUCCAUCUCAAAAAAAGAGAUGCUUAGUGCAUCAAUAAAAAUUUCACCAAACUAUCAAUUUUUAGGCAUGUUGGCAUGGAAUCUGAAUCAUGCAAAACUCAAGGAAGUGGAAAAAAUACCUUUCACAUUUUAAAAAGCUCAUGUAAACAGCAUAAAUAUGCUGUUUUGUAACAAUUAAAUUAUUAUGAAUUCAUCUUUGGUGUUUUUAGAUCCAGGGAAAAGAAUCCCAGACUCACAGAAAAAUAAAAUGGAGAAAGAGGGAGGAAGUGAAGGGUAUGACAGGAUGUUCUAAAAUGGUUGCUAGAUAACCAUAAAAACAAGGACAGUAAUAACACAGCUAACCUCUUGUGAGCAUUUAAGUAUGCUUCAAUGACCGCUUUAGUCACUUUGUAAUUUCAUUCAAUCCUAUUGCCACCUGCUAUGAUCUGAAUGCCCCCAAAAUUUCAUAGGCUAAAACUUAAUUGCCAAUGUGAUAAUAUUAAAAGGUAGGGCCUUUAGAAAGUGAUUAAGUCAUGAGGGCUCCUUUAAUACAGAUUAUCAACUUAAUAAAAGGGCUAGAAGCAACUGGCCAGCCCCUCUUUGCCUUUCCAUCCCUCUGACAUGUGAGGAUACAGCAUUUGUCCCCUCCAGAGGACACAGCAUUCAAAGUGAAAUUUUGGAAGCAGAGAUCAAUCCCUCAUGAAACACUGAACCUGCCUGAAUCUUGAUCUUGGACUUCCUAGCCUCCAUAACUGUAAAGAAUAAAUUUUAACUAGUAAAUCAUCCAGUCUCUAGUAUUCUUAUAGCAGCAAGAACAGAUGAAAACACCAACUCCUUUAAAUAAUUGUAAUUGGUUUCCCUAACUUAGGGAUGAACAAACUCAAGCCUUGAAGUUGAAGUAACUUGUAUAAGAUCAUGCAGGUUAUAAGCACCUGGUACAAAAUGGACCCAGGAUGUCAUCACAAAAGUGUCUGUGGACAGUCAGAUAACAGGACUAACUUAGAGAUCAGAGCCCACCAAAGACACAGAGCAUUUCACGUAACCCUUCCACAGGCAGAUCUCAAGAAACUUCCUUCAACUUUUUCUUCAUGGUGAGUCAACUGAUGAGUAUCAGGUCAUGUGAGUGGCAUCUAAAUCAAGAUGUGAUUCACAUUAUUUAGGACCCUUAUCUAAUACAGGACCUGGUAUCCAAAAAUGAAAGGUUGUGUCAUUAGCCCACAUCGUUAUCACAAAGACUCCUCUAGCAACACAUCUAAAAACAAUUAAUUAAAGAAAACCAAUGAAUCCAUUCAACCUCCACAAAUUAAAUUAAUUCAUAAUUAAUAAGAUAACAGCAAUUCACUAGGCUAUAAUAUUUUAAACUAGCAAAGCAGGGUAAUAAUAAAGUAAUCAAUUUUA